CCUACGGGUGGCAGCAGUGAGGAAUAUUGGUCAAUGGGCGAGAGUCUGAACCAGCCAAGUAGCGUGAGGGAUGACUGCCCUAUGGGUUGUAAACUUCUUUUAUCUGGGAAUAAACUGUUCCACGUGUGGGGUUUUGUAUGUACCAUAUGAAUAAGCAUCGGCUAACUCCGUGCCAGCAGCCGCGGUAAUACGGAGGAUCCGAGCGUUAUCCGGAUUUAUUGGGUUUAAAGGGUGCGUAGGCGGAUCGUUAAGUCCGUUGUGAAAGUUUGCGGCUCAAACGUAAACGGGCAGUUGAAACUGGCAGUCUUGAGUACAGGAGAGGUGGGCGGAAUUCGUGGUGUAGCGGUGAAAUGCUUAGAUAUCACGAAGAACUCCGAUUGCGAAGGCAGUUCACCGGACUGCAACUGACACUGAGGCUCGAAAGUGUGGGUAUCAAACAGGAUUAGAUACCCUUGUAGUC
rnacentral:rRNA from 1 species